rnacentral:rRNA from 1 species
GGAGGGGGUUAGCGGUUGUUCGGAAUUACUGGGGCGUAAAGCGCACGUAGGCGGACUGGAAAGUUGGGGGGUGAAAUCCCAGGGGCUCAACCCUGGGAACUGCCUCCAAAACUAUCAGUCUAGAGUUCGAGAGAGGUGAGUGGAAUUCCGAGUGUAGAGGUGAAAUUCGUAGAUAUUCGGAGGAACACCAGUGGCGAAGGCGGCUCACUGGCUCGAUACUGACGCUGAGGUGCGAAAGUGUGGGGAGCAAACAGGAUUAGAUACCCUGGUAGUCCACACCGUAAACGAUGAAUGCCAGUCGUCGGGUAGCAUGCUAUUCGGUGACACACCUAACGGAUUAAGCAUUCCGCCUGGGGAGUACGGUCGCAAAGAUUAA